rnacentral:rRNA from 1 species
UAGGGAAUCUUCCACAAUGGACGCAAGUCUGAUGGAGCAACGCCGCGUGAGUGAAGAAGGUUUUCGGAUCGUAAAGCUCUGUUGUUGGUGAAGAAGGAUAGAGGCAGUAACUGGUCUUUAUUUGACGGUAAUCAACCAGAAAGUCACGGCUAACUACGUGCCAGCAGCCGCGGUAAUACGUAGGUGGCAAGCGUUGUCCGGAUUUAUUGGGCGUAAAGCGAGCGCAGGCGGAAUGAUAAGUCUGAUGUGAAAGCCCACGGCUCAACCGUGGAACUGCAUCGGAAACUGUCAUUCUUGAGUGCAGAAGAGGAGAGUGGAACUCCAUGUGUAGCGGUGGAAUGCGUAGAUAUAUGGAAGAACACCAGUGGCGAAGGCGGCUCUCUGGUCUGCAACUGACGCUGAGGCUCGAAAGCAUGGGUAGCGAACAGGAUUAGAUACCCUGGUAGUCCAUG